GUCUAUGGCCAUGCCAUGAUGAACAAGCACGAUCCCGUCUGAUCUCAGAAGCUAAGCAGGGUCAGGCCUGGUUAGUACUAAAUGGGAGACCACCUAGGAAGACCAGGUGCUGUAGGUG
rnacentral:rRNA from 1 species